rfam:Pseudomassariella vexata strain CBS 129021 BCR38scaffold_4, whole genome shotgun sequence.
GGUCCUGUGGAGAAAUGGUAACUCGUCAGCCUCCUAAGCUGAAGAUUUCUGGGUUCGAGUCCCAGUAGGAUCG